rnacentral:rRNA from 1 species
CGGUUGAUCCUGCCGGACCCUACUGCUAUCGGGGUGGGACUAAGACAUGCGAGUCGAGCGACUUCCAAGUCACAGCCAUUGGAGACGCGGCAGACAGCUCAGUAACACGUGGCUAACCUGCCCUUGGGACGGGGAUACCCCCGGGAAACUGGGGCUAAUCCCCGAUAGGUGAAGAAGCCGGGAAUGGUUCUUCACCCCAAAAGGCUUUGAAAGCAUGCUUUUCAAAGCCGCCCAAGGAUGGGGCCGCGUCCGAUCAGGUUGUUGGUGAGGUAACGGCUCACCAAGCCUUUUACCGGUGCGGGCCGUGGGAGCGGGAGCCCGGAGAUGGGCACUGAGACAAGGGCCCAGGCCCUACGGGGCGCAGCAGUCGCGAAAACUCUGCAAUACACGAAAGUGUGACAGGGCUACCCCGAGUGCCAUCCGCUGAGGAUGGCUUUUACCCAGUCUAGCAAGCUGGGAGAAUAAGGAGAGGGCAAGACUGGUGUCAGCCGCCGCGGUAAUACCAGCUCUCCGAGUGGUAGGGAUGUUUAUUGGGCCUAAAGCAUCCGUAGCCGGCUGGGCAAGUCCCCUGUUAAAUCCAGCGAUUUAAUCGUUGGUGUGCGGGGGAUACUGCUCAGCUAGGGGGCGGGAGAGGCAGACGGUAUUUCCGGGGUAGGGGUGAAAUCCUAUAAUCCCGGGAGGACCACCAGUGGCGAAGGCUGUCGGCUAGAACGCGCCCGACGGUGAGGGAUGAAAGCUGGGGGAGCGAACCGGAUUAGAUACCCGGGUAGUCCCAGCUGUAAACGAUGCAGGCUAGGUGUUGGGGCGGCCACGUGCCGCUCCAGUGCCGCAGGGAAGCCGUUAAGCCUGCCGCCUGGGGAGUACGGCCGCAAGGCUGAAACUUAAAGGAAUUGGCGGGGGAGCAC